GGAGGAGUCGCCUAGGGGUCGAUGGCAGAGGUUUGCUAAACCUCGCUCCGCAAGGGGCACGUGGGUUCGAAUCCCACCUCCUCCG
rnacentral:tRNA from 2 species